UUCCGGUUGAUCCUGCCGGACCCGACUGCUAUCAGAGUGAGAUUAAGCCAUGCGAGUUAACGUAGCAAUACGUGGCGCACGGCUCUGUAACACGUAGUCAACAUGCCCAGAGGACGUGGAUAACCUCGGGAAACUGAGUCUAAACCGCGAUAAGUGAGGAUUUCUGGAAUGGUUCCUGACUAAAAUCUAUAUGGCCUCUGGAUUGGACUGCGGCCGAUCAGGCUGUUGGUGAGGUAAUGGCCCACCAAACCUGUAACCGGUACGGGCUCUGAGAGGAGGAGCCCGGAGAUGGGCACUGAGACAAGGGCCCAGGCCCUAUGGGGCGCAGCAGGCGCGAAACCUCUGCAAUAGGCGAAAGCCUGACAGGGUUACUCUGAGUGACUUUCGCUAAGAAAGUCUUUUGGCACCUCUAAAAAGGGUGCAGAAUAAGGGGUGGGCAAGUCUGGUGUCAGCCGCCGCGGUAAAACCAGCACCCCGAGUGGUCGGGACGAUUAUUGGGCCUAAAGCAUCCGUAGCCGGUUCUGCAAGUCCCCCGUUAAAUCCAGCUGCUCAACAGAUGGGCCGCGGAGGAUACUACAGAGCUAGGAGGCAGGAGAGGCAAGCGGUACUCAGUGGGUAGGGGUAAAAUCCGUUGAUCCAUUGAAGACCACCAGUAGCGAAGGCGGCUUGCCAGAAUGCGCUCGACGGUGAGGGAUGAAAGCUGGGGGAGCAAACCGGAUUAGAUACCCGGGUAGUCCCAG
rnacentral:rRNA from 1 species